rnacentral:lncRNA from 1 species
CCGGUACACAAUGCUCCAAAUUUCUGUUUUAGCUUCGAUUCGACUCUAUUUCGCGCCGCUCGAUGCUAAAACCCUUCUAACCCUUUCUAAACUCAUUUUCAUCCUUCCAACCUUGUUGGAAUGUAAAAUGGAACUCGCCAGCCCCUUUCUCUCGACACUUUAACCAAUUUGAUCAAAGUUCGAUAAUCGUUUUCGGGUUUCGAUACAUUACAACUAUCGCAUAUUUUUGGGACAGCAAGUUAAUAACUUUUCUUAACCAACUUUUUCUAUUAGUCAUAUUUCAUUCAUUCUCUAAUUUUUUACUUACUAUUGACUUUUCUUUCAGCCAACUCUUGCACUCUUUCCUCGACUUCUACAACUCUCGAUUUUAUUGUAUCUCUGGUCACUCCUGCUGCUGUUGAAUUAACUGCUUAUACUUUUAUUUGUUAGUUUUUUUUUAUGUAUUUGCUAUUUCGUCUUUAACUAUAUACCAUAUUUUAUACUUAAAUAGUUGCUACUUUUAUUAUUGUGGUGAUAGAUUCUAUGUUACGAGGAUGAGAAAAAAAUAUUAUACUACUAUUUCUACUGUUUACUUCUAAAUCUUAUGUGAGUUCGUUAUAUUUUAUAUUUUUAAGUUUUUCAAAUGUGCCAGACUUUUUGUUGUUUAAAGCUGCUGAAUUAUAAUUGCUUUUGUUUAAUUUAAGCUUCAAAUGCUUCUUCCUUUUUUGCCUAUUGUAUGUAAACUGAUUAAAUUAUUUUAAACCCUCUCUAUUUAGGAAUUUGUGCACGGUUAGGAUGUGUCGCUUUUUUUUUUUCGCAAACUUAUGAGGCAUUCUUUAGAUUUUUUUUUUCAUCAUUAUAUGUCUUCAAGUCUUGACGAAGAAAAAAUUUUGCUACAACAAUAUUUACCCACCGCAUCGCGCGGGGUCACUACACUAGUACUACAUUAUAGGAUAAUAAAGUAUAAUUAAGCUUUUUUACGAUCCAUUUAAGUAAAUGUAAUUAUAAAUACAAUAUAGUUAAAAAUAUAUGCAGUUAGAUGUACAACAUCCAUAAAUAUGUACAUUUUGUUUAAUUUGAUAUUUACAAGAUGUUGCAAUAAUAAUUAGUUUGUUUAAUUGCAUGGAACUGAGAAAUGUAUUUAUAAAAUUUUAUCCAUUUAUAUUUAGGGAGAUGAAACUGCUUCCUACAUAAAUAAUCUUAUUUUUUGUUUGAAAUUAUUCUCUCCGAUUGUUAAAAUUAAAAGUACGGUCGAUUUGAAGCUAAUUCCAACUACCGCAGUUGAGUCUUGAAGCUAGUUCCAACUACCGCAGUUGAGUCUUCUCGUAUAAUUUUAACUGUAAAAAUUAAAUUUAAAUUUAUCAAAUUAAAUAUUAUAUAUUAUUUAUAUUUGAAUUUGCAUGUAGUUAUAAUUAGCUGUAACUUUGUACAUAACAACUUUGCUUCACUCAGCACUUAUGGAAAAAAUUUAAAAUGCACCAGUUAUAUUGCUGACAUAUGAUAUUCCCAAUCAAUA